UACGUAGGGAGCAAGCGUUGUCCGGAAUCAUUGGGCGUAAAGCGCGCGUAGGUGGCUUCAUAAGUCCGUUGUGAAAGUCAAAGGCUCAACCUUUGAAAGCCGAUGGAUACUGUGAAGCUAGAGUACGGAAGAGGCGAGUGGAAUUCCUGGUGUAGUGGUGGAAUGCGCAGAUAUCAGGAGGAACACCAAUAGCGAAGGCAGCUCGCUGGGACGUUACUGACACUGAGGCGCGAAAGCGUGGGGAGCGAACAGG
rnacentral:rRNA from 1 species